UUACAGGCGGGUGGACAACACCCCUGGAGCCACAGAGCUCGGUUUCCCCCCCAGCGGCAGGAGCAACUCUCAGCAGCCAGGCAGCGGGGCGGCACGGCCAAAGGCCGCAGUCGGGAUCCCAGCCCCGAUUCCAGGGAGGGCGCAAGCCCCACCCCGCAUCUCACGGCCCCGCGCCUCUGAAAGGCCGGGGCCACAUUCCCACCUGAGUACAGGGGGUCUCUCAGAACGCAGCUCACCAAGCACACACGGGGGGCACACACAGCCCUGCCUACAGGACGGUACCCCCACACCUCACCCUCUUCAAGAAGCCCCGCGGAGCACGAGGCUCCCGCCAACGCCUGAGUUACAGGCUGGCCCGCCCGGCAGCAGCAGAACAUCACCAACGUCUCGUCUUUGGAAGCCCAGGGAGCUACCUCGACCCACCGAGCGGGGAGGUCACCCCACACACAAACAGCACCUCAACCUGCACCCUCUGACGGGACAGGGAGGGGUCACUCCCACCAGCUGGACGGCUAAAGCAGCCGGCUGCAACGCUGCAGCCUCCCCACACCUGAUUACAGGGCGGGCGGGCUGCUCAGGGACAGAGGGCUCCAAAGCUUGGGACACACACCCCGAGUACGGGGCCGUCGCAUUGACAAGCCACCAUCAGGCAACGAUGCCGAGGGGCCGGGGAGGAAGAGGGGCAGGGAAACGGCACUACCCUGCUUACAGGGUGGCCUCGGGGUCCGGCGAGCUCCAUUUCCCACUCAGGUGCGGAGAGGUGGCUCUCGCCCUCCGUUACAGGGGGCCACGCUCCCCAGGCAGCCAAAGGAGCAGCAAGGCAAAAGGCCAACUACAGCAAAGACCCGAGCCCGCUUACGGGGAGGUCGCCCAGCACAACGCCAGCCUGGUCACCAAAGGCGCCGGCAGCUCUCAACUCAAACGUGACUGUGCCCCUGCUAACGGGACAGGUGCUUUGCCCAGGGAGCCUCUCUCCUUCCCCCCCGCAUCUGCACGCUUCCGCUUCCUCUUCUUGCUUGCUCCUGCCUCCCAGGUCCCCACGCCGCUUCUUCUUCUUCCUUCUGCAGCAGCUCCUGAAACAUCAGCGGGGACACCGUUAGACCUGCAG
ensembl:lncRNA